rnacentral:lncRNA from 1 species
UAAUACCUUCAACUACAAAUUGACAUAAAACACCUGGAUUUUGUUCAUCUCAGUGGCUGCUGAACAGAAACUUUACAACAGCAGAGGAAAUGACAUUAAAACAAAUUAUUCUGCAAAACCAUUUCGGGCAUAACAGUGAAAGAAGACCUAAUAUUUCGUGGAAGAUUAAAUGGAGUUUGAGUCACCCAUUCUUUGGAAAAAGACCCUGCUACAAAUUUGGGUGUGUUUCUCCCACAAUAGUACCACAUUUCAGAGAGAAGACACAUAGCAUCAGACACUACCUGAAGUGGAUAAUCAAAGCAAUCUAUGUUGAGAACCAACUGAUUUUGAUCCUGAUUCUGUCUCAGACAACCAAGUGGCAUGUGUCUUUAAGAGUUGACAUCAACUACAAGAACAUAGGCACGUAAGUAU